CUCCAGACUCCUACGGGAGGCAGCAGUGGGGAAUAUUGCACAAUGGGGGAAACCCUGAUGCAGCGACGCCGCGUGAGCGAUGAAGUAUUUCGGUAUGUAAAGCUCUCUCAGCAGGGAAGAAAAUGACGGUACCUGACUAAGAGGCCCCGGCUAACUACGUGCCAGCAGCCGCGGUAAUACGUAGGGGGCAAGCGUUAUCCGGAUUUACUGGGUGUAAAGGGAGCGUAGACGGCGGUGCAAGCCAGAUGUGAAAGCCCGGGGCUCAACCCCGGGACUGUAUUUGGAACUGUGCUGCUAGAGUGUCGGAGAGGCAGGCGGAAUUCCUAGUGUAGCGGUGAAAUGCGUAGAUAUUAGGAGGAACACCAGUGGCGAAGGCGGCCUGCUGGACUGCAACUGACGUUGAGGCUCGAAGGCGUGGGGAGCAAACAGGAUUAGAUACCCCGGUAA
rnacentral:rRNA from 1 species